rnacentral:tRNA from 16 species
GGAGGGAUGGCCGAGUGGUUUAAGGCGGCGGUCUUGAAAACCGUUGUACGAAAGUACCGUGGGUUCGAAUCCUACUCCCUCCGCCA